AGUGGCGAAAGGGCGAGUAAUGCAUUCGAACGUGCCCCGAGGUGGAGGAUAGCCGUGGGAAACUGCGGGUAAUACUCCAUGUGAUCCAAGGAUGAAAGCCGCAAGGCGCCUUGGGAGCGGCGAAUGUCCUAUCAGGUAGUUGGCGGGGUAAAGGCCCACCAAGCCGAAGACGGGUAGCGGGUGUGAGAGCACGGCCCGCCGCAUCGAGACUGAGACACUGCUCGGACUCCUACGGGAGGCUGCAGUAACGAAUCUUCCGCAAUGCGCGAAAGCGUGACGGAGCAAUGCCGCGUGCAGGACGAAGCAGCUUUGCUGUGUAAACUGCUGUCAGGGUCGAGAAAUACUGAUCAGACCCAGAGGAAGGGCCGGCUAAUCCUGUGCCAGCAGCCGCGGUAAUACAGGAGGCCCGAGCGUUAGGCGGAAUCACUGGGCUUAAAGGGUGCGUAGGCGGUCCUGUUGGUGCAUCGUGAAAUCCCACGGCUCAACCGUGGAACAGCGGCGCAUACCGCAGGACUCGAGACAGGUAGAGGUCGCCGGAACGCUCGGUGGAGCGGUGAAAUGCGUAGAGAUCGAGCGGAACGCCCAUGGUGAAAACAGGCGACUGGGCCUUGUCUGACGCUGAGGCACGAAAGCGUGGGGAGCAAACAGGAUUAGAUACCCUGGUAGUCCACGCCGUAAACGAUGNGCACUAGAUCGG
rnacentral:rRNA from 1 species